rnacentral:rRNA from 1 species
GGGGAUUUCGAGCUAGACCACCGCCCCACCGCAUAUAUUUUUCAAUAGAUGCGAGCGGUUUCCGCUGAACGCCGACUAGCGGGCGGUGAUUGGCGACGUGCUGGACGGCGAUGUGCUCGGCGAAGAAUUCUCAUCGGAUGAUUCCCUCACUCCCCUGUCCAUCUCUCCCUCGUCCUCUCGUGCGACUCAGAGGCCGACAGCGGCAGCGGUGAUGGAGCGUACAACGAUUCUUCACCGGUGACCAAUCCCAAAUCUAUCCCACUGCUCAGUCGAAUAAGGCGCUUGCGACAACCAACAUUCACCGAACCAGAUUUUCCAUUCCCUCGACAGCCGGCUCCGGCACAGGAAUGAAGGUCAUGGUCGGCGCUGCAUAUCCAGAAGCUAUGCCACGGCCGCCUACAGUUCCACCCAGGCUAGCUGAUUUGCAUGCAUGUUUGAUUUCUGAUCUCUUUCCAAUCUGUCCUGUUCAUUCUAUUUUAUACGGUCAUAUGUUAGCUAGGCUCUGAGUGCACCAUGUAUCCAUAGUUGCAAAACAAUUCUUGAGAUUUCCUUGGUAAAAUUUCUGGAAUAUUUUAGUUGUACAUAAUAUUGGCUGCGCCAUCAUAACCAUUUGUUUACCCCCCUAGUAUAAAAAUACCAAAGUAAGGUUUCUAUACAUACAUACGAGAAAGCACCUCUUUAAUUAGUAAUUUGCUGGUAGAAACAUCGAUCUGUUAUUACUGGACAUGAAGUAGCUUUUACAAAUGCUAUAGGUAAUUGCGUGGAAAUUGAUCUGAGAAAUUGUUGUCGAGAUAGGUAAUUACUUGAGAACAGUUGCUCUUUAAGAUUUCUUGAGCUUUAUUCCGGAUGCUCAAGUGAAGCAAUUGCUUCUCACUGAAGGGUCUAUUUUUUUCUUGGACGGGUCAGGUUGUUCCUGUUUUCUCUUUAUUCAGAUGUACCUUGGAUUUGUAAAUCAGAAAGUGUGAUGCUCAACGAGAUUCAGGUCGCGCUAAGACAUCAACAAUCAGUGACAAGCCUCCACUAUCUAUUGCAAAAAUGAAGAACCGGGUUGAUUGCUUAUCCUCAUCCCGGUGAUUUGGUCCCCGCAAAAAAAAAAGAAUAUGAUUUUGGGCGAAUAGGACCUGACUAGCUUCUAACUCUGCUGAACUGUAUUGAUCAUAGUGUUAAACUAUUUUUUCUUUUGCUCUUCUAAAGGCCAUUUGCAAUGAUUCAUAAUUUUCCAGAGGAGAUGGCUCAGUUGAAAAUUAUGUUCAGUUUCUUUAUUCUUAUGCUAAUUCUCUGUCCAUUUGUAAGACGGCUGGUGAUGUUCAGAAUAAUAAGCGAAGUGCAGAAUGAAAUUAAUGGGGCCGAGAUUAGCGGUUUCCUUUCCUUUUCCCUGGGAAGGCGAAUAGGAAGGCGACUUUGUCCCCUCGAUCUGCCGCCGGCCAGGCCGGUGGUUCCUUCCCUCUCCGUCUGCCGCUCCCACGACGGGAGAGGGGCGGGAACCCCAGUCCUGUGCUUCCGGUAUGUAGAUAGUAGGGUAGUGGUUCCCGGAGUUGCCGUCAUGGUGGGGGUGGCGGCGUCGGUGUGGAAUAAAGAUGUUGGUGGUUCCCCCUCAUCCCAGCGAAGCCUUUGCCGGAACCGGCGAACUGUCGGCUUUAGGUGCUCUCGGAUCCUUCGAUAUGGUGAGCUUUGGUGCUCCGAGCAAAGCGCUGGAUCUGCCAGCGCAGGUUUGUGGUCACUGGAUCUUUGCAGGUUCUUCUCCUCAACGGUGAAUUGGUAACGGUGACUACAGUAGACUGUUUAAGCAACUAAGCAACUCAAGUCCCAUGGCGAUUACAAAUCAUGAGUGGCUGCUGCACUAUUCUUGUAUGUUCUUCUAUUUUCCAUGGAAGCAUUCAAUCAUAUUUGUUUUUUCUCACAGCAGUUUAUAUACCUCUCCAUGGAUCAUUCAGGUGUACAAAUAUGGAUUUUCACUUUUGACCUGCAGUAUUUGACGGUCUCUAUGUGGAGGGUUUCAGAACUUUCUCUAGGUGCAGACCGGAUUAGUAGCGGUACAUGCUUGCAACUAGCAAAAAUUGCAAGAUGCAGGGUUGCGUUUUCUCUUUCCAAUGCAUGGUGGAUGACCGCUAAUGUAUGUGGGAUAUGGAUGUCUUCAUAUUUGUGGUGGGUACAAGUAAUGUUAAAUUGAAAUUUGAGGCCCUCUUUUCAUUACAACCAGUAGCAAAAUUUAGGUUUUGGUGAGAAGAAAGGUGAACCUAAUGGCUAUAGCACUAUUGAGAAGAAUGUUUCAGUCACUGGAGAAAUUGAGGAACAAAUGAAGUUGAUAGAAGAACAAGCAAUAAAGAUCUAUUAAACAUAUAUAUAGAUUGCUUGGCAAUAAAGAUCGACAUAAAAUAGCAUUACUUGUUUUGGGCAUAGCUAAACGUACAAGCUUAAUACUACUGAAAUUCUAAAAUCUAUUUGUAUGUGUUCGAUCAGAAGUAAUGUUUGGUUUUGUUCAUAGGUUGUCCACUGUUUUGUCAUUCCACCUAACUGAAAGAGAUUGUAAUCGGGUCAACAAAUGGCAUACAUUUUUUUCAGGCAGACAAACCUAUUUUGUUGAAAAUCUGAACUUUGUAGUUCAGUAGCUAUUGUGUAGGUGUAUUUCAAUCUUAUGGCUUUUUUUUGCUUGAGAUUCGUAUAUACUGUAAUGAUGUUGAGUUUGUUCACAUUAACCUAUGUUCCUAUUUUGCUGAGCUAUCCACUGAAAUUUGCUUAAUUUCUUCUUGAUUCCUCGUGUUUACUACCACUGUACCACUAGAUUUGAUAUGUUUUUAUUUAGUUCCAUUUAAUAUUGAUUCAACUAUAUUAUGGGUGGCUUUGGCAUUUUUCCCUUACAAUCGUGUGUCUGACGAAUUAUGGGGUGUGCCUCUUUCACACUAAUGUUCGUUGCAAACUAAUCAUGAAAUUCAAUUACUUCAGGUCUUUACUUACAACAUGAUUUACGUCCAAUUCUUUGCUCCUUUUGUUUCAUCACAAAGCAAUGAAGUUUAGUAGCAUAACUUCUAGUACUAUUAAGAAAAUCCAUAUUGAAGGGACUUAAGAUACUUCUAUGUUUAAUUUUGAUGAUAAUGUCGUUAUAGUUGCUAGACACAGACUAGUUCAAUACGGCGACUCCCACCAUUGAAGUUGUUCGAUAAAAGACAUGGUUAGUGAGCAUUUUUAACAAUAGUUAUAGAAUUUGACUUUUUGUCUUGUUUCUCACUAUACUUUUGAUUCACCUGCGGCUAGCAUGUUAUGGUUUCAUGUGAUUGUGAUGAAUUUGGUACAUCCAAAGUCCCACUGUGAUAUCUUUGAUUUCGACAUUAUAUUAUUUUUAGUUCAGGGCAGUGAAGCCUAUUACUCCCUCCGUUCGGAAUUACUUGUUGCAAAAAUGGAUGUAUCUAGACAUAUUUUAGUUCUAGAUACAUCCAUUUCCGGGACAAGUAAUUCCGAACGGAGGGAGUAGUCCUGAAAUGUUAUAUGUGCUUCUGUGAUGGUGGCCACUACCUAUUUGUUGGUAUACUUUCAAGAAUUGAAAAUAUUCUGUUUCAGUAUCUGUUCAAGUGGAUGACGGUUAAUGUAUGAGGGAUAGAGAGUCGUGUCUUCAUAUUUAUGAUCGGUAAUUGUAAUGUGCAAUUGAAAUUCAAACCUUCGUUUACUAAUAACCAGUAGCAAAGUUCAGGUUUUGUGAGAAGAAAAGUGAACCAAAGGCUAUAGUACUAUUAAUAGGAUAUUGUGUUGCUUCCAGCCCAUGGAUAAGAAUGUUUCAGUCGCUGCAGAGAUAGCUGAACAGAUGAAGUUGGCGUAAAAUCUAUGGUCACCUACUGCUUGAAGAUCAAGUUCGACAGUAUUCAGUUUGCAAAUUCGGUAGCAUUCAAUUUUGUAAUAGAGAUUUCUGAAAAAUAAUAAUCAUGCCGCUGGUUACUUAGUGCUCAGCGGCAUUCAGUUACGUCCAAACGAAUUUUAUUUGUAAGCUUAAUAUGGCUUUUGUUACUAUUACAUGGAAUCUAGUAUUUAUUAGACCACUUUGUUAUUCCAUGGUUACCAAAAAUUCCUUGUGGACAAAAUCAACCAGUG